rnacentral:rRNA from 1 species
CGAUGGCGACCGGCGCACGGGUGAGUAACACGUAUCCAACCUGCCGUCUACUCUUGGACAGCCUUCUGAAAGGAAGAUUAAUACAAGAUGGCAUCAUGAGUCCGCAUGUUCACAUGAUUAAAGGUAUUCCGGUAGACGAUGGGGAUGCGUUCCAUUAGAUAGUAGGCGGGGUAACGGCCCACCUAGUCUUCGAUGGAUAGGGGUUCUGAGAGGAAGGUCCCCCACAUUGGAACUGAGACACGGUCCAAACUCCUACGGGAGGCAGCAGUGAGGAAUAUUGGUCAAUGGGCGAGAGCCUGAACCAGCCAAGUAGCGUGAAGGAUGACUGCCCUAUGGGUUGUAAACUUCUUUUAUAAAGGAAUAAAGUCGGGUAUGGAUACCCGUUUGCAUGUACUUUAUGAAUAAGGAUCGGCUAACUCCGUGCCAGCAGCCGCGGUAAUACGGAGGAUCCGAGCGUUAUCCGGAUUUAUUGGGUUUAAAGGGAGCGUAGAUGGAUGUUUAAGUCAGUUGUGAAAGUUUGCGGCUCAACCGUAAAAUUGCAGUUGAUACUGGAUAUCUUGAGUGCAGUUGAGGCAGGCGGAAUUCGUGGUGUAGCGGUGAAAUGCUUAGAUAUCACGAAGACUCCGAUUGCGAAGGCAGCCUGCUAAGCUGCAA